UGUUCUUCUGCAAUGAAGUUUAAAAUCCAAAAUCGGCUGAAAUUCGGCAUCUUCCAUGUUUCAGGGGUGUAUUUGGUAGCCGUGUUGGUCCCAGACCAACACAGCUACCAAGUACACCCCUGUAGCAAUGUACACAAUACUUCAGCUGAAUCCUAACUGGAGUCAGAUAAACUAAACUGCAUUUACAAUUUUCUUCCUGUCCUGCCCUGUCCUGUCCUCCUUCCUUUCUGCAGUUGUAUCCCAUUGCUGACUUUUGCAAAGUGUGUGACCCAUGGAAGCUCCCAGCCAACUCUCAGCACUGCUACUGCCUAGCCACUUAUCUCCUGUUCUGUAUUUAGUCAUUCAGCUUUUCUUUCUUAGGUGCAGCACCUCACAUUUUGCCUCAGCUGAAUUACUUUGUUUUCUGCAGCCUAGUUUUCUAAUUUAUCAAGAUUAUUUUAGAUUCUACUCUUAUCCUCCAAAAUAUUUACAAUCCCCCCAGUGUUGUCAUCUACAAACUCCAUCAGGAAGUUUUCUAUUCAAGUCUUUAUUAAAAAUAUUAAAUAAGGCUCUGUGGUACCCCACUUGAAAUCUGGCAUUCAUCUAUUUGCAGACCAACUAUAGUACUCUUAGCUUGUGGUUAUUCAGUCAAGCAUACAUCCACUCAACAGUAAUUCUGUCUAGAUACAGCCCUCUUGACUGCAUGGAUUCCAUGUGAUUUAUUAGUUUGUACAAGCCAACAAAAAUAUUUGUGAAAACUUUCAAGUGGCAGGUGCCUUCUAUGAAAACAGUUAUUACAGGAUGUCUCUAAACACCCUCCGUGGCAAUCCCACAACCAAUGCCAAGAAAUAAGUCCCACUCACUGUUUGCUGAUCUCUAUGUGCCACAAGGGGAAAACCAUGUACUUGCCGUGAGAAUGGUGCUGGGGGUGCUCAGUGCCACGUGACAAAUUCUCCAGAGCGUUCCCAAGACCAAGAUCCUGAGGGCUUUUCCAGUCGUGUUUCCAAAAUAGAAUUAUGCAAUAUUUUUCAGCAGGCAACACGUGCAGAGCAGGAGCAAGUGCCUGGGGCUUCUUUCUUAGCAAUGAUUUUGAGACCUAUGCACAGAGGCAAUCAAACAGUUUUGUGGUUAGGGCACAGGAAAAGAGACAAGUGAUCUGAAUUGGGUUCCCAACAGGCACUAGCUCACUAAGGGUAAAGGAUUUAGCCUUUUUUACUUUGUUUUUUCAACGUUAAAACAAAUACUGAUGCUUGGUCGAGCUUAUAAAACAGAUUUUUUUUUUCCAUAAGGCAACGAGGUGAUCUAAUAUAGAUUCUACCACACAAGAUCACCCACUGCUAGGCAGUAUUUUGACUGUAAAUUAUUUCCUACCCGCUGCUGGGCAGUAAAUUAUGUAAAUUAUUUCCACCCUCUGCUGGGCAGUAAAUUAUGUAAAUUAUUUUCUACCCACUGCUGGGCAGUAUUUUGACUGCUAUGUAAAUUAUUUCAGGUACAGACUCCUUGCUUUUACCAAGUUUGCAUGCUAACUGGCCAAAGUAUUAAAAACAUGAUUUCUUCCAAGUUUUCUCCUUUAGAUCUACCUCUGAUGGAGUUCCUAUCCUUCUGGUUACCUUUGAACAAGAUAGCUGGCCCAAAAGCUUUUAGAUGAAUUCCAGUCUUCAUUUGCCCUGAGUCAGAUAAAAAUGUCAAUUCCACCCAAUUUUGGGAUGUGAGAAAUAACCAGAAAUCUUUUAUUUUAAAUUAAAAUUUGAAAAUCUGGAAUACUGCACUGCAGAAACAAUUUGGGCAAUGAAACUGUAUCCUCUUUCCUACAAAAUCAUUCUUCUGUUAUUUAAAUUCGAGACAUGUUUGGACAAAAAUUAGUUCUACAGUUUUAAGAAUAUUUUUAUCCAUAAGUACCAGCACUUGACACCCAUCAAGAUUGGGACUGAUUUUAUGCACCAAGUGCUGCACUCAAAUGAAGAGGUCACACAUGGCCAUCUAGUGGCUUUUCAGACACUCAUCAUGGAAUAUUUUCCUGUAUAAUUUUAACUUGCCCUGAAGGUAUCUCAACAUUCAUUUGAAAAUUAUUUUGUAUUGGAAAACUCCAGUAUACAGCAAAUCAUUAACUGCAAUAAACAUAUUCAAAUGAGAUUAGGAAGUAACCAAAACAAAGUGCCUUAUAUAUGAUUCAUGAUCCAAGGAAAUGCAUAUGUAGUAAGGAAAUUAAAAACAUAAAUAAUGGAGGCUUCACAGUAGUAUUUGUUUGCAUAUUUAUCUAGAAUUUAAUUCAAAGUUUCACUUUAACAUAGGUCAUGCAACCAUCAGAUUUAAACUAUCACAACAAUAAAGACUUGAAGUGAUUAUUCAUCUGACAUGAAUACAUUAUAUGUAUUUACUUAUUAAAGUCAUGGACUCAAAGGACAAAUCUUAUUGUACUUUACAUGGCAUUGUCUACCUUACCAGCUUCAAAAAUCACCUUAAAGGGCUCCCAUUCAACUGCAGCUUGAUACAAUGCAUGACUAAGAAUACAGGUAAAUAAGAGAUGCGUCAUGCAACAGUCUCUAACCACAAAAAUGUAAGAAUCCAUAGAAAUGUGUGUGCUUGCUUAAAUAAACAUAUAUGUACAUUU